rnacentral:rRNA from 1 species
AGUGAACGCUGGCGGUAGGCCUAACACAUGCAAGUCGAACGGCAGCACAGUAAGAGUUUGCUCUUACGGGUGGCGAGUGGCGGACGGGUGUGGAAUACAUCGGAAUCUACUUUUUCGUGGGGGAUCACGUAGGGACACUUACGCUAAUACCGCAUACGACCUACGGGUGAAAGCAGGAGAUCUUCGGACCUUGCGCGAUUGAAUGAGCAGAUGUCGGAUUAGCUAGUUGGCGGGGUAAAGGCCCACCAAGGCGACGAUCCGUAGCUGGUCUGAGAGGAUGAUCAGCCACACUGGAACUGAGACACGGUCCAGACUCCUACGGGAGGCAGCAGUGGGGAAUAUUGGACAAUGGGCGCAAGCCUGAUCCAGCCAUACCGCGUGUGUGAAGAAGGCCUUCGGGUUGUAAAGCCCUUUUGUUGGGAAAGAAAAGCAGCAGGUUAAUACCCCGCUGUUCUGACGUUACCCAAAGAAUAAGCACCGGCUAACUUCGUG